UACAGAGGAGCCAAGCGUUGUCCGGAUUGACUGGGCGUAAAGCGCAGCGCAGGCGGGUGCGCGCGUGGGGUGUGAAACCAGGUGGCUUAACUGCCCUGUCGCCAUCCCAUACGGCGCGCCUGGAGCCAUCCAGAGGUCGGUGGAAUUGCCGGUGUAGUGGUGAAAUGCGUAGAUAUCGGGAGGAACACCAGUGGCGAAGGCGACUACCUGCCUGUUCUUGACGCUGAGGCGCGAAAGCUAAGGGGAGCAAACGGGG
rnacentral:rRNA from 1 species